AGCCCGCUCAGAACUUAAAUGAAUGACGGGGGCCCGCACAAGCGGUGGAGCAUGUGGUUUAAUUCGAUGCAACGCGAAGAACCUUACCUGGGCUUGACAUCCCGAGAACUCCCCUGGAAACAGGGGAGUCGCCCUUCGGGGAGCUCGGAGACAGGUGCUGCAUGGCUGUCGUCAGCUCGUGUCGUGAGAUGGUUGGGUUAAGUCCCGCAACGAGCGCAACCCUUGUCUUUAAUUGCCAUCAUUGAGUUGGGCACUUUAAAGAGACUGCCGGUGUUAAACCGGAGGAAGGUGGGGAUGACGUCAAGUCCUCAUGGCCUUUAUGCCCAGGGCUACACACGUGCUACAAUGGGUGGUACAAAGAGAGGCAAGCUCGCGAGAGUAAGCAAAUCUCAAAAAGCCAUCCUCAGUUCGGAUUGGAGUCUGCAACUCGACCCCAUGAAGUCGGAAUCGCUAGUAAUCGCGGAUCAGCAUGCCGCGGUGAAUACGUUCCCGGGCCUA
rnacentral:rRNA from 1 species